rnacentral:misc_RNA from 1 species
CAGUAUUCUUUUGCCAGCGCUUAAUUGCGCGGCGAAAAACCUUACACACUAUGUUUUUUUAAUUUGAAACUAUUGCUUUGGUCUGGCUUAGAAAUAGGUUGGGCCAAAGGUUUUAUCAAAACUUCAAUAUUUAUUAUUGAAUUGUUAUUUUUAAUUUUAUGUCAAUUUGUUGAUUAAUAUCAAAAAUCUUCAAAACUUUCAACAACGGAUCUCUUGGUUCUCGCAUCGAUGAAGAACGCAGCGAAAUGCGAUAAGUAAUAUGAAUUGCAGAUUUUCGUGAAUCAUCGAAUCUUUGAACGCACAUUGCGCCCUUUGGUAUUCCAAAGGGCAUGCCUGUUUGAGCGUCAUUUCUCUCUCAAAUCUUCGGAUUUGGUUUUGAGUGAUACUCUUAGUCAGACUAAGCGUUUGCUUGAAAUGUAUUGGCAUGAGUGGUACUAGAUAGUGCUGAACUGUUUUCAAUGUAUUAGGUUUAUCCAACUCAUUGACCCAGUAAAGUAUUUGUUUAUUACACAGGCUCGGCCUUACAACAACAAACAAAG